UACAGAGGUCCCAAGCGUUGUUCGGAUUCAUUGGGCGUAAAGAGCGUGUAGGCGGCCCGAUUAGUCCGCUGUGAAAGUCCAGGGCUCAACCCUGGAAUGCCGGUGGAUACUGUCGGGCUAGAGUCCGGAAGGGGCGAGUGGAAUUCCUGGUGUAGCGGUGAAAUGCGCAGAUAUCAGGAGGAACACCAAUGGCGAAGGCAGCUCGCUGGGACGUGACUGACGCUGAGACGCGAAAGCGUGGGGAGCAAACAGG
rnacentral:rRNA from 1 species